UUCAUCUCUCAAACUCUCUCGAACCUUCCUGGAACCUUAAUCGUCUCCCACCUUAUCUUACCAUGCUUCCACCGGAAUCCAUGGCGUCUCAGGCCGUGGAUGGUCUGUACUCACCCUUUAUCACCACUAGACCUAAACUAUUCAAGGCUGUGAAGCUUGACUUGGAUGGUUCUCUCCAAGACCUUCUCAGAUCUGUAGAUCUAUGGCUUCUCCGACCAUUACUCCGGCAUAUUCGAGCAAUAUGAGUCUUUUCGACUCAGGAUCUGACUUUCCUCAAGAAUUUUCUCAUUUGUAGGGCUUCUCUACAAUCCUAAGCUUUUUGAGGUUCUUUACUUGCUUAUUUUCUCAGAUCUAGAAAAUAUCUAUGUUCUUAUCAAACUUUUUAAAGGUUUUUCCCAAACUCCCUUUUCAAAAUCAUUUAAUUUCAAUUUAGGGUUUCAGAAAGGGUUUUCAAAAGC
rnacentral:lncRNA from 1 species